UACGUAGGGGGCAAGCGUUGUCCGGAUUUAUUGGGCGUAAAGGGCGCGUAGGCGGCCACUGCAAGUCGGUUGUGAAAUCUCCGGGCUUAACCCGGAAAGGUCAACCGAUACUGCAGGGCUAGAGUGCAGAAGGGGCAACUGGAAUUCUCGGUGUAGCGGUGAAAUGCGUAGAUAUCGAGAGGAACACCUGCGGCGAAGGCGGGUUGCUGGGCUGACACUGACGCUGAUGCGCGAAAGCUAGGGGAGCGAACGGG
rnacentral:rRNA from 1 species